GGGUUGUGAGGUUAAGCGACUAAGCGUACACGGUGGAUGCCCUGGCAGUCAGAGGCGAUGAAGGACGUGCUAAUCUGCGAAAAGCGUCGGUAAGGUGAUAUGAACCGUUAUAGCCGGCGAUGUCCGAAUGGGGAAACCCAGUGCAAUUCGUUGCACUAUCGUUUGAUGAAUACAUAGUCAAACGAGGCGAACCGGGGGAACUGAAACAUCUAAGUACCCCGAGGAAAAGAAAUCAACCGAGAUUCCCCCAGUAGCGGCGAGCGAACGGGGAGCAGCCCGGAGUCUGAAUCAGCUUGUGUGUUAGUGGAAGCGUCUGGAAAGUCGCAGGGUACAGGGUGAUACUCCCGUACACUAAAGCACACAGGUUGUGAACUCGAAGAGUAGGGCGGGACACGUGGUAUCCUGUCUGAAUAUGGGGGGACCAUCCUCCAAGGCUAAAUACUCCUGACUGACCGAUAGUGAACCAGUACCGUGAGGGAAAGGCGAAAAGAACCCCGGCGAGGGGAGUGAAAAAGAACCUGAAACCGUGUACGUACAAGCAGUAGGAGCCUCUUUAUGGGGUGACUGCGUACCUUUUGUAUAAUGGGUCAGCGACUUAUAUUCUGUAGCAAGGUUAACCGUAUAGGGGAGCCGCAGGGAAACCGAGUCUUAACUGGGCGUUAAGUUGCAGGGUAUAGACCCGAAACCCGGUGAUCUAGCCAUGGGCAGGUUGAAGGUUGGGUAACACUAACUGGAGGACCGAACCGACUAAUGUUGAAAAAUUAGCGGAUGACUUGUGGCUGGGGGUGAAAGGCCAAUCAAACCGGGAGAUAGCUGGUUCUCCCCGAAAGCUAUUUAGGUAGCGCCUCGUGAACUCAUCUUCGGGGGUAGAGCACUGUUUCGGCUAGGGGGUCAUCCCGACUUACCAACCCGAUGCAAACUACGAAUACCGAAGAAUGUUAUCACGGGAGACACACGGCGGGUGCUAACGUCCGUCGUGAAGAGGGAAACAACCCAGACCGCCAGCUAAGGUCCCAAAGUCAUGGUUAAGUGGGAAACGAUGUGGGAAGGCCCAGACAGCCAGGAUGUUGGCUUAGAAGCAGCCAUCAUUUAAAGAAAGCGUAAUAGCUCACUGGUCGAGUCGGCCUGCGCGGAAGAUGUAACGGGGCUAAACCAUGCACCGAAGCUGCGGCAGCGACACUAUGUGUUGUUGGGUAGGGGAGCGUUCUGUAAGCCGUUGAAGGUGGCCUGUGAGGGUUGCUGGAGGUAUCAGAAGUGCGAAUGCUGACAUAAGUAACGAUAAUGCGGGUGAAAAACCCGCACGCCGGAAGACCAAGGGUUCCUGUCCAACGUUAAUCGGGGCAGGGUGAGUCGACCCCUAAGGCGAGGCCGAAAGGCGUAGUCGAUGGGAAACAGGUUAAUAUUCCUGUACUCGGUGUUACUGCGAAGGGGGGACGGAGAAGGCUAUGUUGGCCGGGCGACGGUUGUCCCGGUUUAAGCAUGUAGGCGGAUGUUCCAGGUAAAUCCGGAACGUUAUUAACGCUGAGGUGUGAUGACGAGGCACUACGGUGCUGAAGUGACAAAUGCCCUGCUUCCAGGAAAAGCCUCUAAGCAUCAGGUAACAUCAAAUCGUACCCCAAACCGACACAGGUGGUCAGGUAGAGAAUACCAAGGCGCUUGAGAGAACUCGGGUGAAGGAACUAGGCAAAAUGGUGCCGUAACUUCGGGAGAAGGCACGCUGAUGGUAAGUGAAGUGACUUGCUCAUGGAGCUGAAAUCAGUCGAAGAUACCAGCUGGCUGCAACUGUUUAUUAAAAACACAGCACUGUGCAAACACGAAAGUGGACGUAUACGGUGUGACGCCUGCCCGGUGCCGGAAGGUUAAUUGAUGGGGUUAUCCGUAAGGAGAAGCUCUUGAUCGAAGCCCCGGUAAACGGCGGCCGUAACUAUAACGGUCCUAAGGUAGCGAAAUUCCUUGUCGGGUAAGUUCCGACCUGCACGAAUGGCGUAAUGAUGGCCAGGCUGUCUCCACCCGAGACUCAGUGAAAUUGAACUCGCUGUGAAGAUGCAGUGUACCCGCGGCAAGACGGAAAGACCCCGUGAACCUUUACUAUAGCUUGACACUGAACACUGGUCCUUGAUGUGUAGGAUAGGUGGGAGGCUUUGAAGUGUGGACGCCAGUCUGCAUGGAGCCAUCCUUGAAAUACCACCCUUUAAUGGCUGGUGUUCUAACGUGGGCCCGUUAUCCGGGUUGCGGACAGUGUCUGGUGGGUAGUUUGACUGGGGCGGUCUCCUCCUAAAGAGUAACGGAGGAGCACGAAGGUCAGCUAAUCCUGGUCGGACAUCAGGAGGUUAGUGCAAUGGCAUAAGCUGGCUUGACUGCGAGCGUGACGGCGCGAGCAGGUGCGAAAGCAGGUCAUAGUGAUCCGGUGGUUCUGAAUGGAAGGGCCAUCGCUCAACGGAUAAAAGGUACUCCGGGGAUAACAGGCUGAUACCGCCCAAGAGUUCAUAUCGACGGCGGUGUUUGGCACCUCGAUGUCGGCUCAUCACAUCCUGGGGCUGAAGUAGGUCCCAAGGGUAUGGCUGUUCGCCAUUUAAAGUGGUACGCGAGCUGGGUUUAGAACGUCGUGAGACAGUUCGGUCCCUAUCUGCCGUGGGCGCUGGAGAAUUGAGGGGGGCUGCUCCUAGUACGAGAGGACCGGAGUGGACGCAUCACUGGUGUUCGGGUUGUCAUGCCAAUGGCAUUGCCCGGUAGCUAAAUGCGGAAGAGAUAAGUGCUGAAAGCAUCUAAGCACGAAACUUGCCCCGAGAUGAGUUCUCCCUGACUCCUUGAGAGUCCUGAAGGAACGUUGAAGACGACGACGUUGAUAGGCCGGGUGUGUAAGCGCAGCGAUGCGUUGAGCUAACCGGUACUAAUGAACCGUGAGGCUUAACCUUACAACGCCGAAG
rnacentral:rRNA from 1 species